AACUUUUGACAAUGGAUCACUUGGCUCUCGCAUCGAUGAAGAACGCAGCGAAAUGCGUUAAGUAAUGUGAAUUGCAGAAUUUAGUGAAUCAUCGAAUCUUUGAACGCACCUUGCGCUCCUUGGUGUUCCGAGGAGCAUGCCUGUUUGAGUGUCAUUCAAUUCUCAACCUUUCCAUUAAUUUGGUUUGGCUUGGAUGUGGGGGUUGCAGGCUUCAUUUGACUAUGAGGUCAGCUCUCCUUAAAUGCAUUAGUGGAACUUUUGUUGACCAUCUAUUGGUGUGAUAUCUAUCUACACUGUGGAUGUGAAGCAGUGUUCAGCUUCUAACCGUCUAUUAUUGACUUUUACUUGACCAUUUGACCUCAAAUCAGGUAGGACUACCCGCUGAACUUAAGCAUAUCAAUAAGCGGAGGCU
rnacentral:misc_RNA from 1 species